rnacentral:lncRNA from 1 species
GGACGCAGAAAAACAAGCCCGAAGAAUGCGUCACAGAAUGCACGUCAUGGUAAGUAGUCACAUCAUUGACGAUCAUGGGGCAGGAGGAAGAGGAACUCUCCAGGAGCCCCUGCACGACUCAGGCUUUCUGCACUUAAGGGUCCGACGCUUGGAACGUCAGGAGACAAGCAGCGUCACGCUGAAUGGCACCAGCCCGUCGUGGCGGCCUAGGUACUCAUCAGGGGAGAACAGCGCACAAGGGCUUUGUACUGCAGAAUACGAUUAAGCCAUAGCAGAAAUGAACGUCUCCUUCACAAGAAAAUGGAUGAAAGUAGGCAUCACCGUAUAAAGCAG